rnacentral:lncRNA from 1 species
AUUGGCUGGCUCCGCCUGAGGGCUCCUGCCGGGCCGAGGCCCCCGCCCCCCUCCCCGGUGCAUCGCGGCGGCCUGAGGUGAGGGGGGGGCUCGGCCGGCGGCGGCGGGCAGGGGCGAGCGGGCCGCCCCCACCGCCACGGCCGGCGGUAUAACAAAUGAAGGCAUUUAAUUCUGAGAGCUGGAGGCGGCAAGACAGGAGUUUGUAACUACCUCUCAUUUCAGGACUCUAUUUACAGGUAAAGAAUUCUUUUGCAUAGUCUUUUGAAAAGGCGGCGAGUGUUAACUCGGUCUCAGCUCUU